rnacentral:rRNA from 1 species
UGGUGGAGUGAUUUGUCUGGUUAAUUCCGUUAACGAACGAGACCUCGACCUGCUAACUAGAAGUACAAAGGUUUUCCUUUGCUGCUUCUUCUUAGAGGGACUAUCGGUGUGUAGCCGACGGAAGUUCGAGGCAAUAACA